rnacentral:lncRNA from 1 species
CUUGGAAAGGAAUGAAAAGCAGACACCUGUCAGGAACACUGAAUGCUGGAAAAUAAUAAAGCAAUGUCUAGAGAACAACCAACCUAAAUUGGAUUCUUCAGAUCUUGGAUAAGUGGAUUCUCUGUAGUCAGCUAGGUAGAAGGCUAGAUAAAACUACUACAGGUUGAGCAUCCCUAAUCUAGAAAUCUGAAAUCUGAAAUGCUGUAAAAUCCUAAACUUUUUUUUUUUUUUAGAUGGGGUCUCAGUCUAUCACCCAGGCUGGAGUAUAGUAGCAUGAUCAUAGCCCACUGUAACCUCAAACUCAAGGCCAACAUGAUGCUCAAAGGAAAUGCUCAUUGGGGUAUUUCGGAUUUUGGGUUUUCAGAUUAAGGAUGCUCAACCACUAAGUAUAAUAUAACUAUUUCAAAAUCUGAAAAAAUCUGAAAUGUGAAAUACUUCUGGUUCCAAGCACUUCAUAUAAGGGAUACUCGACAUGUACUUAGUAAUGUCUCCUACUGACAAGGACUUGCUCAAUCACUUUCUGCAGGAAGGGUAAGCUGGUCCCCUCCUGGAGGGAAGUCUGGCAGUGUAUACCAGACUUUAAAGUAUGCUGACUCUGUGGCCCAAGCAACCCACUGUUAGAAAUUCAUCCUACAGACUCAGAGAAGUGCAGAAUUACAUAUUUACUAGACUAUUCACAGUAGAAGUGCCUGUAAUAGCAAAAACUGGCAGGCAUCUUAAAAGUCCAGAGGUAUUAUUUAACCCGAGGUAUUUAACCCCAUAAAAUUGAAUACUACAAAGAACGAGAUACUUUAAGAGGUACUAACAUGGAGAAAUGUCCCAGAUAUGCUGUUAAAUGAAUAAAGCAAGUUGUCGAAGAACAUGUGGAGAAUUAUUCCAUUAGGCAGUGUGUUAUUAAUAAUUAUAACAAUAAUAAUAAAAAUUCAGACAUCUAUAGAGAAAAUCUGUAAGGAUAUAACCUAAACUGUCAACACUUAUUUUUGAGGUAAUGGAAAUUAGAGGAGACUCACUGC